rnacentral:rRNA from 1 species
AUUGAACGCUGGCGGCAUGCCUUACACAUGCAAGUCGAACGGCAGCACGGGGCAACCUGGUGGCGAGUGGCGAACGGGUGAGUAAUGCAUCGGAACGUACCUUUCAGUGGGGGAUAACGUAGCGAAAGUUACGCUAAUACCGCAUAUUCUGUGAGCAGGAAAGCAGGGGAUCGCAAGACCUUGCGCUGAUUGAGCGGCCGAUGUCAGAUUAGCUAGUUGGGGAGGUAAAGGCUCACCAAGGCGACGAUCUGUAGCGGGUCUGAGAGGAUGAUCCGCCACACUGGAACUGAGACACGGUCCAGACUCCUACGGGAGGCAGCAGUGGGGAAUUUUGGACAAUGGGGGCAACCCUGAUACAGCCAUGCCGCGUGAGUGAAGAAGGCCUUCGGGUUGUAAAGCUCUUUCGGCCGGGAAGAAAUCGCACGGGCUAAUACCCUGUGUGGAUGACGGUACCGGAAUAAGAAGCACCGGCCAACUACGUGCCAGCAGCCGCGGUAACAC